rnacentral:lncRNA from 1 species
ACUUGUUGGCCUACAGAGGUGUGGCAAGCAGAGCACCUCAGAACUCAGGCGUACUGCCCGCCGCCCGAGCCCUGCGAGGGCCGAUAGCGAGGGUGUGGCCCUUAUCUGCACCCAGCAGAGCGCCGGCGGGGUACGGUCUUAGGACCUCGAUCUCCUUCUCCCUCAUUUUCUCUCAUCCCUACCUAUUGUGGGUUUCCGCAUGGGCCGGACCGUGGUCGUGCUGGGCGGAGGCAUCAGCGGCUUGGCCGCCAGUUACCACCUGAGCCGGGCCCCCUGCCCCCCUAAGGUGGUCCUAGUGGAGAGCAGUGAGCGUCUGGGAGGCUGGAUUCGCUCCGUUCGAGGCCCUAAUGGUGCUAUCUUUGAGCUUGGACCUCGGGGAAUUAGGCCAGCGGGAGCCCUAGGGGCCCGGACCUUGCUCCUGGUGAGAGGCUUGUGGGAUGUCUAGGAGAGGUUGUGGAGGGGGCUUCCAUUGGGGAAUAGAGUUUAGGGGAGGAAGUAUGUUUGGUGGGUCAGAUCUUCCCUUAGUUUCUCCUCUUCUGAGGGCAUGUGGAGAGCAGGUUUCUGAGCUUGGCUUGGAUUCAGAAGUGCUGCCUGUCCGGGGAGACCACCCAGCUGCCCAGAACAGGUUCCUCUACGUGGGCGGUGCCCUGCAUGCCCUACCCACUGGCCUCAGGAUGGAGUGCAAUGGCGCGAUCUUGGCUCACUGCAACUUCCGCCUUUCGGGUUCAAGCGAUUCUCCUGCCUCAGCCUCCCGAGUAGCUGGGACUACAGGGGGCUACUCCGCCCUUCACCCCCCUUCUCCAAACCUCUGUUUUGGGCUGGGCUGAGGGAGCUGACCAAGCCCCGGGGCAAAGAGCCUGAUGAGACUGUGCACAGUUUUGCCCAGCGCCGCCUUGGACCUGAGCCAUGGACAGUCUCUGCCGUGGAGUGUUUGCAGGCAACAGCCGUGAGCUCAGCAUCAGGUCCUGCUUUCCCAGUCUCUUCCAAGCUGAGCAAACCCAUCGUUCCAUAUUACUGGGCCUGC